CGCGGGCCUACACGUCACCCGCCCGCAGCGGCGCCAACGUCUGCACGUCGGCUUCCCCAGCCCCACCCCCCCGCGUGCGCGCGCCGCCGCCCCGCCUGCCGCCCGCCCAGCGCUGAGUAGGACCGGGCCUGCGGCGAGGUCGCGUCCCCGGGCGGGCGUGGGCGCGGGCGCGCGCGUUCCCGGGACUCAGGGUCUGUGGGGUGCCCUCGCGAGGCCGGGCCUGCCACCUCCAGGUCGCUACCUGAGCAUCUUUCCCUGCAGUUCCUUGAGUCGGCUCCAUCUUCUCCCCGCCCGCCCUUCUCUGUAAGGUGAAGACCUGGAGGAGGUAAUUCCUAUUACAGUCCUUGGGGGAUUUUCCAAAACGUUAAUGGAAGGACAGUCUGAUGACAAGAUUCCUCAUGAAGAGAAGGAAGACUGUCCAUAAAAUAUGCCAUGAGCAAAGACAAGGAAACAAGACUGCAGAUGCAUUCUGUGGUUCCAGGAAUUCAGAAGCAUAGUCUCAGCCCUCCUGUGUCUGACUGAGAGGCACAUAAGGAAAUCAUCACAAUACAAGGUGUCAGUCAAGGAAAUUCAAAGGCAAUUCCAGGAGCUUUCAGCAGAAGGUUAUCUAACUAUGUAUGUGGAUAAAACUUAAAUGCCGGAUUCAGAUAAUAGCACUUCUGAUCAAGUAAAUUUAAAGAAAAACGUGCUGAACAUCUACCAUAAGAAAGGACCUGGAGAGUUAAAAUUAAAAGCAGAAAGAGAGAAGAGGGAGAAGGAGAGAGAAGAGAGACGAGAGAGAAGAAAACUGGUUGCUUUAGGUUAUGUGCUCAACUGUUGUCUAGGGAAAGAUGACAUUUUGAUAUUUUCACCAAGAUUGCACAUAAUGGACAAGGUUGCCCACUCUCACCACUAUUAUUCAACAUAGUUUUGGAAGUUUUAGCCACAGCAAUCAGAGAAGAAAAAGAAAUAAAAGGAAUCCAAAUCGGAAAAGAGGAAGUAAAGCUGUCACUGUUUGCAGAUGACAUGAUACUAUACAUACAGAAUCCUAAAGAUGCUACCAGAAAACUCCUAGAGCUAAUCAAUGAAUUUGGUAAAGUAGCAGGAUACAAAAUAAAUGCACAGAAAUCUCUUGUAUUCCUAUACACUAAUGAUGAAAAAUCUGAAAGUGAAAUUAAGAAAACACUCCCAUUUACCAUUGCAACAAAAAGAAUAAAAUAACUAGGAAUAAACCUACCUAAGGAGACAAAAGACCUGUAUGCAGAAAAUUAUAAGACACUGAUGAAAGAAAUUAAAGAUGAUCCAAAUAGAUGGAGAGAUAUACCAUGUUCUUGGAUUGGAAGAAUCAACAUUGUGAAAAUGACUCUACUACUCAAAGCAAUCUACAGAUUCAAUGUAAUCCCUAUCAAACUACCACUGGCAUUUUUCACAGAACUAGAACAAAAAAUUUCACAAUUUGUAUGGAAACACAAAGACCUCGAAUAGCCAAAGCAAUCCUGAGAAAGAGAAACGGAGCUGGAGGAAGCAGGCUCCCUGACUUCAGACUAUACUACAAAGCUACAGUAAUCAAGACAGUAUGGUACUGGCACAAAAACAGAAAUAUAGAUCAAUGGAACAGGAUAGAAAGCCCAGAGAUAAACCCACGCACAUAUGGUCACCUUAUCUUUGAUACAGGAGGCAAGAAUAUACAGUGGAGAAAAGACAGCCUCUUCAAAAAGUGGUGCUGGGAAAUCUGGACAGCUACAUGUAAAAGAAUGAAAUUAGAACACUCCCUAACCCCAUACACAAAAAUAAACUCAAAAUGGAUUAAAGACCUAAAUGUAAGGCUAGACACUAUAAAACUGUUAGAGGAAAACAUAGGCAGAACACUCUAUGACAUACCACAGCAAGAUCCUUUCUGACCCACCUCCUAGAGAAAUGGAAAUAAAAACAAAAACAAAUGGGACCUAAUGAAACCUCAAAGCUUUUGCACAGCAAAGGAAACCAUAAACAAGACGAAAAGACAGCCCUCAGAAUAGGAGAAAAUAUUUGCAAAUGAAGCAACUGACAAAGGAUUAAUCUCCAAAAUAUACAGGCAGCUCAUGCAGCUCAAUAUCAAAAAAACAAACAACCCAAUCCAAAAAUGGGCAGAAGACCUAAAUAGACAUUUCUCCAAAGAAGAUAUACAGAUUGCCAACAAAAACAUGAAAGAAUGCUCAACAUCAUUAAUCAUUAGAGAAAUGCAAAUCAAAACUACAAUGAGAUAUCAACUCACACCAGUCAGAAUGGCCAUCAUCAAAAAAUCUACAAACAAUAAAUGCUGGAGAGGGUGUGGAGAAAAAGGAACCCUCUUGCACUGUUGGUGGGAAUGUAAAUUGAUACAGCUACUAUGGAGAACAGUAUGGAAGUUCCGUAAAAAAAACUGAAAAUAGAACUACCAUACGACCCAGCAAUCCCAGUACUGGGCAUAUACCCUGAGAAAACCAUAAUUCAAAAAGAGUCAUGUACCAAAACAUUCAUUGCAGCUCUAUUUACAAUAGCCAGGACAUGGAAGCAACCUAAAUGUCCAUCAACAGAUGAAUGGAUAAAGAAGAUGUCGUGCAUAUAUACAAUGGAAUAUUACUCAGCCAUAAAAGGAAACGAAUUGAGUUAUUUGUAGUGAGGUGGGUGGACCUAGAGUCUGUCAUACAGAGUGAAGUAAGUCAGAAAGAGAAAAACAAAUACCGUAUGCUAACAUAUAUAUAUGGAAUCUAAAAAAAAAAAUAAAAAAAGUCAUGAAGAACCUAGGGGAAUGACGAGAAUAAAGACACAGACCUACUAGAGAAUGGACUUGAGGAUACAGGGAGGGGGAAGGGUAAGCUGGGACAAAGUGAGAGAGUGGCAUGGGCAUAUAUACACUACCAAACGUAGAAUAGAUAGCUAGUGGGAAGCAGCCGCAUAGUACAGGGAGAUCAGCCCGGUGCUU